rnacentral:rRNA from 1 species
UACGUAGGGUGCGAGCGUUAAUCGGAAUUACUGGGCGUAAAGCGUGCGCAGGCGGUUUUGUAAGCCAGAUGUGAAAUCCCCGGGCUUAACCUGGGAAUGGCAUUUGGGACUGCAAGGCUGGAGUUUGGCAGAGGAGACUGGAAUUCCUGGUGUAGCAGUGAAAUGCGUAGAGAUGUGGAGGAACACCAAUGGCGAAGGCAGCCUUCUGGGCCAACACUGACGCUCAUGCACGAAAGCGUGGGGAGCAAACAGG